rnacentral:rRNA from 1 species
AGUGAACGCUGGCGGCAGGCCUAACACAUGCAAGUCGAACGGCAGCACAGUAAGAGCUUGCUCUUACGGGUGGCGAGUGGCGGACGGGUGAGGCAUACAUCGGCAUCUUCUUUUUCGUGGGGGAUAACGUAGGGACACUUCCGCUAAUACCGCAUACGACCUACGGGUGAAAGCAGGGGUUCUUCGGACCUUGCGCGAUUGAAUGAGCCGAUGUCGGAUUAGCUAGUUGGCGGGGUAAAGGCCCACCAAGGCGACGAUCCGUAGCUGGUCUGAGAGGAUGAUCAGCCACACUGGAACUGAGACACGGUCCAGACUCCUACGGGAGGCAGCAGUGGGGAAUAUUGGACAAUGGGCGCAAGCCUGAUCCAGCAAUACCGCGUGGGUGAAGAAGGCCUUCGGGUUGUAAAGCCCUUUUGUUGGGAAAGAAAAGCAGCAGGUUAAUACCCCGCUGUUCUGACGGUACCCAAAGAAUAAGCACCGGCUAACUUCGUG